CAAUCUUCCAUUCCAAACCCGCUCUGCUGAUCAAGCAUUACUAUCGAUCAAUCUCAUUGUUUCCGCUACUACCAAAUAGAUAGCCUUGAGAGCAUCUGAGAGGCUUUUUUUAUCUAGAAGUGAUAGUUUAACCAACUCAAAACCCCAUCAGAAUACUACCUCUCUUUAAGAGGUAAUGUCUUUCUCUCUCUCUUGAAGACCCAUCUAUU
rnacentral:lncRNA from 1 species